AGCCUGAUCCAGCUAUCGCAUGAAUGAUGAGUCUACGGAUGUAAGCUCUUUCAAUAGGGAGAUAAUGACGUACCUAUAGAAGAAGUCCGCAACUCCGUGCCAGCAGCCGCGUAAUACGGAGGGGCAAGCGUGUUCGGAAUUAUUGGGCGUAAAGGGCACGUAGGUGGACUAGUAAGUUAAAAGUGAAAUACCAAAGCUUAACUUUGGAGCUGCUUUUAAUACUGCUAGACUAGAGGUCGAAAGAGGAUAGCGGAAUUCCUAGUGUAGAGGUGAAAUUCGUAGAUAUUAGGAGGAACACCAGUGGCGAAGGCGGCUAUCUGGUUCGAUACUGACACUGAGGUGCGAAAGCGUGGAGAGCAAACAGGAUUAGAUACCCUGGUAGUCCACGCUGUAAACGAUGAGUGCUAAAUGUGAGGAUUUUAUCUUUGUAUUGUAGCUAACGCGUUAAGCACUCCGCCUGGGGACUACGGUCGCAAGACUAAAACUCAAAGGAAUUGACGGGGACCCGCACAAGCGGUGGAGCAUGUGGUUUAAUUCGAUGCUACGCGAAAAACCUUACCACUUUUUGACAUGAAGGUCGUAUCCCUCCUAACAGGGGGAGUCAGUUCGGCUGGACCUUACACAGGUGCUGCAUGGUUGUCGUCAGCUCGUGUCGUGAGAUGUUGGGUUAAGUCCCGCAACGAGCGCAACCCUCAUCCUUAGUUACCAACAGGUAAUGCUGGGCACUCUAAGGAAACUGCCAGUGAUAAACUGGAGGAAGGUGGGGAUGAUGUCAAAUCAGCACGGCCCUUAUAAGGUGGGCUACACACGUGCUACAAUGGCAACUACAAUAGGUUGCGAGACCGCAAGGUUUAGCUAAUCCAUAAAAGUUGUCUCAGUUCGGAUUGUUCUCUGCAACUCGAGAGCAUGAAGUCGGAAUCGCUAGUAAUCGUGGAUCAUCACGCCACGGUGAAUACGUUCUCGGGUCUUGUACACACUGCCCGUCACGCCAUGGGAAUUGGCUUAACUCGAAGCUGGUGUGCUAACCGCAAGGAAGCAGCCACUAACGAAGUCUUG
rnacentral:rRNA from 1 species